GAGGAUCCUUUUUUAUUAUUAUUUGUUCCUCUUUGUAACCGUUAACUAGAAGAGAGAGAAAAAGCCGUUUUCAAUUUCCUUUUUUUUUCCAGCUUUUCUUUUUUCCUUUUCACUUUUUGUUCCUAGUAGAGAGGGCAUAUUGGUUGUGAUGUAACGUGUGUGUGUUAGUGGUGAGAGAGAGCAAUCUUGUUGUUUUUUUACCGUUAGAGGAGAGAGAUUUUGUGCUAGCGGUCAAUUUUUACAAGGGAUCCAAUGCUCAAAUACAUUUUAUUUUUGCAAACAAAUAUUAUUAAAUAAAAUAUGGUCAUUACAAAUUUCUAACCAAUAUUUUAAAUUUUAAAUAAAACAACAAAAUUCCUAAUUGUUUAAUUUGAAUUUUUGAACAAAGAAAUAAAAUGACCGAUUAUAAAUAGAAAUCAGAUAUAACUUUUCUU
rnacentral:lncRNA from 1 species